rnacentral:rRNA from 1 species
GAUGAACGCUGGCGGCGUGCUUAACACAUGCAAGUCGAACGAUUAAAGCCCCCUUCGGGGGGUGUAUAGAGUGGCGAACGGGUGAGUAACACGUGGGCAACCUGCCCUCCGCUCCGGGAUAACUCAGGGAAACUUGAGCUAAUACCGGAUACUCCGAUCGGGUCGCAUGGCCUGAUCGGGAAAGUUCCGGCGGCGGAGGAUGGGCCCGCGGCCCAUUAGCUUGUUGGUGAGGUAACGGCUCACCAAGGCUGCGAUGGGUAGCCGAGCUGAGAGGCUGAUCGGCCACACUGGGACUGAGACACGGCCCAGACUCCUACGGGAGGCAGCAGUGGGGAAUCUUGCGCAAUGGGCUAAAGCCUGGCGCAGCAACGCCGCGUGCGGGAUGAAGGCCUUCGGGUCGUAAACCGCUUUCAGCAGGGAUGAAACUGACAGUACCUGCAGAAGAAGCCCCGGCUAACUACGUGCCAGCCGCCGCCGUAAUAC